rnacentral:rRNA from 1 species
GACGAACGCUGGCGGCGUGCUUAACACAUGCAAGUCGAACGGAAAGGCCCUGAUCUUGUGGGGUGCUCGAGUGGCGAACGGGUGAGUAAAACGUGAGUAACCUGCCCUUGACUUUGGGAUAACUUCAGGAAACUGGGGCUAAUACCGGAUAGGAGCUCCUGCUGCAUGGUGGGGGUUGGAAAGUUUCGGCGGUUGGGGAUGGACUCGCGGCUUAUCAGCUUGUUGGUGGGGUAGUGGAUUACCAAGGCUUUGACGGGUAGCCGGCCUGAGAGGGUGAACGGCCACAUGGGGACUGAGAUACGGCCCAGUCUCCUACGGGAGGCAGCAGUGGGGAAUAUUGCACAAUGGGCGGAAGCCUGAUGCAGCAACGCCGCGUGCGGGAUGACGGCCUUCGGGGUGUAAACCGCUUUCGCCUGUGACGAAGCGUGAUUGACGGUAAUGGGUAAAGAAGCACCGGCUAACUACGUG